UACGUAGGGUGCAAGCGUUGUCCGGAAUUAUUGGGCGUAAAGAGCUCGUAGGCGGCUUGUCGCGUCGGCUGUGAAAACCUGGGGCUCAACCCCGGGCCUGCAGCCGAUACGGGCAAGCUAGAGUUCGGUAGGGGAGACUGGAAUUCCUGGUGUAGCGGUGAAAUGCGCAGAUAUCAGGAGGAACACCGGUGGCGAAGGCGGUUCUCUGGGCCUGUACUGACGCUGAGGAACGAAAGCGUGGGGAGCGAACAGG
rnacentral:rRNA from 1 species